UUGCCAUUAACCCUAACCCACACACGGGUCGACACAUGCGCCGGGGUGCCCUCAAGGGUCGGAUGCAUGGGACUCGUGGAGGCCUAAC
rnacentral:sRNA from 1 species